AUCCAAUGAGGGGUAGGGUAUGACUCAUUAUCAUGUGCCAUGAUUUUGUCUUCCUUUAGCUUUUCUUUUGCUUUGCUUUACCAUUUUUGCUUUCCUUUAGUCUUCCUUUAGCUUUUCUUCAAUAUAACACCAUUUUCUGUGGCUCAGAUCGCAAAACCAUCUUCAUGAAAGUUGUUCCUUAGCUCGUGAACUACAACAUAUCCAAAUUGGAGAUCCAUCGGAGCAGUACAACUCCAGAAAUUCAGGUAUGAUGAGUGAUUGUUCGUCAUUUGUAUAUCAACGCGUCAGACUUGUUGUGAGCUUCAAAAACUCCAUUUUCUCUUGCUCAGAUCAACAUACUUUCUUCAUCGAAGUUGUUCCUCAACUUGUGAACUACAACAUAUCCAAAUUUGAGAUCCCUCGGAGCAGUAUAACUCCAGAAAUCCAGGUAUGAUGAAUGACUGGUUAUUAUUUUUCUGUUAACCCGUCAGAUUUGUUGUGAGCUUCGAAACUCCAUUUUCUCUUGUUCAGAUCGGUAUGCUUUCUUCAUUGAAGUUGUUCCUCAGCUCGUGAACUACAACAUAUCCAAAUUUGAGAUCCCUCGGAGCAGUAUAACUCCAGAAAUCCAGGUAUGAUGAAUGACUGGUUAUUAUUUUUCUGUCAACCCGUCAGAUUUGUUGUGAGCUUCGAAACUCCAUUUUCUAUUGUUCAGAUCGGCAUGCUUUCUUCAUUGAAGUUGUUCCUCAUCGUCUCUUUCAUAACAUAUCAAAAAAUUCAGAAUGAACUAAGUGGUUAAAUAUUUCCAGAUCUUCGAAACAUCACAGCAGCUUCGAAAUCUGCAAGAAUCCGACUGUCAUGUUUGGAGCUUCAACACUUUAAUUUCCGUCGCUCAAACAGAAAUGGUUCCUUCUUGAAAGUUGUUCAUAUGCUCAAGAACUAUAGGGUGUCCAAAAUUCAGCUCCAUUGGAGAAGAGCAGAGGUUGCAGAAAUUUGAUAGAUGAAAGGAGGCGGAAGAGGGAGAGAGAGAAAAAGUCUCUUGGGUUGGAUUUCUAUUUUGGGGCAGAUUCCAAUUUUUG
rnacentral:lncRNA from 1 species